GUUCUCGCGAGAAGGAGCUCCCAAACAUGGCUGCCGCCAGUGUCUGUGUUUCUGGAAGGAGCUGCAGGCGACUCCCCCACCACCUCUCCAGGAGCCUCUCCAAGACCCGCAGAUCUGCCUCCACCUCCGGAAGCUGCCAAGGUUUUGAACCAACAGAGGCAGAAGAUGGAGAACAGAAUACUGCUCAUGGGAACAAGCUUUGGAAUUAAUAUCUAGUUUGGAAAGAGAUCAGAGGGACAACUUUGAAUGAUCUUUGCGCUUUAGUUUUAUUAAAUGGAAAGUAUAAAAAUGACAUUGAAGGUAGUAUUAGUAGUGAGAAUCUCAUAAUCCUGUCAUCUGAAAGCAGCCAUUUUAAUCAUUGCAUGUUUCACAC
rnacentral:lncRNA from 1 species